rnacentral:rRNA from 1 species
UACGUAGGGGGCAAGCGUUGUCCGGAAUCAUUGGGCGUAAAGCGCGUGUAGGCGGUCCGGUAAGUCGGCUGUGAAAGUCCAGGGCUCAACCCUGGGAUGCCGGUCGAUACUGCCGGACUAGAGUUCGGAAGAGGCGGGUGGAAUUCCCGGUGUAGCGGUGAAAUGCGCAGAUAUCGGGAGGAACACCAAUGGCGAAGGCAGCUCGCUGGGACGUUACUGACGCUGAGACGCGAAAGCGUGGGGAGCAAACAGG